UCUACCUAAAAACUUUCAUCAAGUACAAGUCAAAAAAUUUAAGAUUAUAAGAAUAAAGCUAAUAAUUGUACAUGUAGCAGAUCUUAGAAAUAUGUUCACGAAGAGAUACAUUAUUGCCUAUGCUAUCACGCUGCCUGUCUUUCUGUCUUGGUUGAGUAUAGUACAUUUGCAGAUGACACACACUGUUUCAUGGAAUACUGAAUCUUAAUUAUUGACAAAUCAUAAAACUUCAUAAUAUUAAAUUUUUUUUGUUACAUACUGAAUAACUGCAUGAUUGUUUUUUCCUUUAAGAAGCCAUAUGUUCUAAUUGCUGCCCAAUAAAUAGUACAGUGCGGUGUCUUUGUGUAAAUUGCAUAAUGUAUAUGCAAGGUGAAGAUAACGAGCAGUGAUCAAUCUCAUAACUCCUACAAACAAUACAAAAUAGAUAGUUGGGCAAACACGGACCCCUGGACACACCAGAGGUGGGAUCAGGUGCCUAGGAGGAGUAAGCAUCCCCUGUUGACCGGUCACACCCGCCGUGAGCCCCAUAUCCUGAUCAGAGAUUCAUUUUGAGGAAAUAGCUGGUGCGCAGUGCACAUUGCUAAAUGAAUUCAUCAGUUUACAUUAGGAUCUACCUUCAAAUCCUGUAAUAUGGU